GAUGAACGCUAGCGGGAGGCCUAACACAUGCAAGCCGAGCGGUAGAAGAUCUUCGGAUCUUUGAGAGCGGCGUACGGGUGCGGAACACGUGUGCAACCUACCUUUAUCAGGGGGAUAGCCUUUCGAAAGGAAGAUUAAUACCCCAUAAUAUAUUGACUGGCAUCAGUCGAUAUUGAAAACUCCGGUGGAUAGAGAUGGGCACGCGCAAGAUUAGAUAGUUGGUAGGGUAACGGCCUACCA
rnacentral:rRNA from 1 species